AUGCUUAGCUAGCAGGGGAAAAGCCAUGUGCACAGACGAGGUUUUUCCCAUGUGAGGUUUAAUCAUGACACUUAGGGCAUGUUAAACUCUGGGAUUUCCCCAAAGGCAGGAAACUCUGCCCAUAAUUUGUGGCAAUGCAUUUAUGACAUCUUCUGGCAAUUUUGCU
rnacentral:snRNA from 11 species